rnacentral:rRNA from 1 species
AUACGGAGGACGCGAGCGUUAUCCGGAUUCAUUGGGUUUAAAGGGUGCGCAGGCGGCCGUGCAAGUCAGCGGUGAAAGCCCGGGGCUCAACCCCGGAAGUGCCGUUGAUACUGCAUGGCUGGAAUGCGGUCGAGGCGGGCGGAACGUGGCGUGUAGCGGUGAAAGGCGUAGAUAUGGCUCAGAACGCCGAUAGCGGAGGGAGCUCGCCAGGCCUGCAUGGACGCUCGGGCACGAAAGCGUGGGGAUCGAACAGGAUUAGAUACCCUGGUAGUCCACGCCGUAAACGAUGGGCGCUCGUCGUCGGCGGCAGACAGUCGGCGGCCAAGCGAAAGCGAUAAGCGCCCCACCUGGGGAGUACGGUCGCAAGGCUGAAACUCAAAUGAAUUGGCGGGG